GAACACAAAAUGGCGACACGUGGUUAGCAUUCGUCGCCAACGAGAAAUUGGGGUCGGCCCGAAAGCUCUAGAAUGCACCCCUCUUCCUCCCCGGGGCCUUCCACCUCCGCGAGUUUUAUGACUUAAAAAAGCCCACAGGCUGGUCUGAAGAGGAAGACAAACAUAAAGAUGAAGUGCUUAAUUCAAGGUCACACAAUGUCGGGGAUGGACCUCCAGAUUUCCUUACUGACCUGCAUUAUCUUGUGGAUACCUGAGUGAAUUCCACACCACCCAUUUUAUAGAUGAAACCACUGAGACAUGGAGCAAUUGACUGAGUAGUCACUGCCCCACCCCUGCCUGGAGCCUCACACAUGACUCGCCUCCUCUCAGUGACCACAGGUGAGACGUGGUCUUGUAACACAGUGGUUAAGAAUGUGACUUUGGAGCCAGCCUGCUAGGGGCUGAAUUCUGACUCAGCCAUUUACUAACUGUGUGACCUUAGGGAGGAGGACCUGGUUGAUAGAAGAAUUUAUCUCGUAGUCUUAACAUCCACUGUAAUUCCAAACUUUGAGGACGAUAGAGAUCAGUGGGCUUUGACUGCCCAGCAUGCAGUCUCCAUUCUUAGGUGGGUUCCCAAGCCUGUAAAAUGUAAGCCUUAUGCUGCUGAGGGCCAUCUUGCCACCCUGAGGGAAACGCUGCCUGAGAAUGAAACAAGCAUAAGUAAAAGCUGAGCUGUGAGAUGGAGCAAGAUGAAGGCCACAUGACAUCUUUGGAGCACCUGGAUCUAACUGUGCCUUAAGCUAGUCUAACCCUGAACAUUUCAUCAUUUCAUUGACAUGAGCCCAGGUUUUCUUUUUUUUUGGAUGGAGUCUUGCUCUGUCGCCCAGGCUGGAGUGCAGUAGCUCAAUCUCGGCUCACUGCAAGCUCCACCUCCCGGGUUCACGCCAUUCUCCUGCCUUAGCCUCCCAAGUAGCUGGGACAACAGGCGCCCACCACCACUCCCAGCUAAUUUUUUGUAUUUUUAGUAGAGACGGGGUUUUACCAUGUUAGCCGGGAUGGUCUUGAUCUCCUGACCUCAUGAUCCGCCCGCCUCGGCCUCCCAAAGUGCUGGGAUUACAGGUGUGAGCCACUGCACCCAGCCCUCAGGUUUUCCCUUUUUUUACCCCUCCUUUUGAAAAUUUGAUGUGGAAUUUUGCCACCUGCAGCCAGAAGAGUUUUAACUAAUCAGUGCCAUAAAUUUUAUAUAGUUCUCCUUGCAAAAUGUGGAUCAGCCUUUCUCAGCAAAUCCUUUGUCAUAAAGUGCUGAAUUGUAAGUUUGUCAUGAGAAUCACAUGAGAUCAUGCAUGUGAAGAACCUGGCAUUAUCCUCCUCAUAGAAAAAAACCAGUAAAUAUUAACUACAGGAAGCAAGGAAGGAGUGGGGUGAGGGGAAGAAGAAGGGGUACUGAUUUAAAAGAACCCUGGAGUCCUAAGGAUAAUCUAGGAACCCUCAGACCCAAUCCGAUACCCCUAUUCUAAAUGCUCCUAGUGCCCUGUACCUUCCCCUCAUAAGCCUUCAUUAUCAUUGUAAUGAUAUGUUUAUGUAAUAUUUUGAUUAAUGUCUCUCCUUCACUGACCUAGCAGUUCUAGCAGGGCAGUGAUUUUGCUGUGUUGCAUCCCCAGCACCUAGUCUGGUAUGUGGCAUUCAGCAUAUGUUUAUUGAAUGAAUGGCCAUGUGGUUAUUCAGAUCCUCCUUGAUUAUUGGGGUUAGGAUUGUGGCAGAAGUGGCAAAAUCAGGGAGAGUAGUCCCUGUCCCCUCUGUAUCUUAUACACUGCCCACACUCCCAACACACAUACACAUACAGAGAAUUUUGUCUCAAUUAGAUAAUUAACUUCUGCUUGGUUGUAAACCAAACCACUGGUUCUUAAACUUUCAUUGGAUCAUUUUAUUGAAGAAUUAAAUAGUGUGGUUCUGGCCUAAUGUCUGGAAAGCCUUGCAGAGGAGUGGAUUAGGUCUUUGUGAUAAACAGGCAGCCUUCCCUGCUCCUGUGUCUUUAUAAAAUCUAUUUAACUGGAGUAGUCCACCCUCCCUCAGGCUCUUACAGGAAUAUGUUGGAGGCUGUAGGAAGGUGGGAAACCGAGAGGGAAAGGACUGGGCCGCUGGAGACUUCACUCAUUCCCUAGCAAGAAACAAAAGCAGUAAAAGGUGGCCCGAGGACAACCUGAAGCUCACUCCUUCAGCACUUUUGGCUGGAGGUCACUUGUUGGAGCCCCACUCAGAGCUCAGCACACCACCCCACCAGCAGCCUCCUCCUCCCAGCUGAGGCUGCAUUUCAUCCCUUCCCCCAGCCUGCUUUCCCUGAGAUAGGGGAGUGUUUCCCAGGGCCCAUGUGACUUCCACUGGCAAGUGACGAUUACCAAUGGUUUACUAGUCAGUGAAACUACCAAAGGCUUUUGUGCUGUAGUAAUCCUUUUCCUGUUUAAAACUCUGGGGAUUUUCUAAUGUUGCCAAUAGUUUUUCAAGUCAGCAAUUACUGUGUGGAUUAUGUAAUGGCUCGGUAUUA
rnacentral:lncRNA from 1 species